CGGCGACCGGCGCACGGGUGAGUAACACGUAUGCGACCUGCCCGUAGCAGGGGGAUAAGCGGAAGAAAUUCCGUCUAAUACCGCGUAAUAUCUUUCGGGGGCAUCCCUGAGGGAUUAAAGGAAGUGAUUCCGGCUACGGAUGGGCAUGCGGCGCAUUAGCUAGUCGGCGGGGUAACGGCCCACCGAAGCGACGAUGCGUAGGGGUUCUGAGAGGAAGGUCCCCCACACUGGUACUGAGACACGGACCAGACUCCUACGGGAGGCAGCAG
rnacentral:rRNA from 1 species